rnacentral:rRNA from 1 species
UCGAACGAGAAAGCCCGCAAGGGUGAGUAAAGUGGCGUACGGGUGAGUAACACGUGGGUAAUCUACCUUUUGGUGGGGAAUAACCCUGGGAAACCGGGGCUAAUACCGCAUAAGCUCGAGAGAGGAAAGGAGCAAUUCGCCGAAAGAGGAGCCCGCGGCUGAUUAGCUAGUUGGUGAGGUAAAGGCUCACCAAGGCAAUGAUCGGUAGCCGGCCUGAGAGGGCACACGGCCACACUGGCACUGAAACACGGGCCAGACUCCUACGGGAGGCAGCAGUGGGGAAUCUUGCACAAUGGGGGAAACCCUGAUGCAGCGACGCCGCGUGAGUGAUGAAGCCCUUCGGGGUGUAAAGCUCUUUCGGCAGGGACGAUAAUGACGGUACCUGAAGAAGAAGCUGCGGCUAACUACGUGCCAGCAGCCGCGGUAAUACGUAGGCAGCGAGCGUUG